rnacentral:rRNA from 1 species
GACGAACGCUGGCGGCGUGCUUAACACAUGCAAGUCGAACGGAAAGGCCCUGCUUUUGUGGGGUGCUCGAGUGGCGAACGGGUGAGUAACACGUGAGUAACCUGCCCUUGACUUUGGGAUAACUUCAGGAAACUGGGGCUAAUACCGGAUAGGAGCUCCUGCUGCAUGGUGGGGGUUGGAAAGUUUCGGCGGUUGGGGAUGGACUCGCGGCUUAUCAGCUUGCUGGUGGGGUAGUGGCUUACCAAGGCUUUGACGGGUAGCCGGCCUGAGAGGGUGACCGGCCACAUUGGGACUGAGAUACGGCCCAGACUCCUACGGGAGGCAGCAGUGGGGAAUAUUGCACAAUGGGCGGGAGCCUGAUGCAGCAACGCCGCGUGCGGGAUGACGGCCUUCGGGUUGUAAACCGCUUUCGCCUGUGACGAAGCGUGAGUGACGGUAAUGGGUAAAGAAGCACCGGCUAACUACGUG